rnacentral:misc_RNA from 1 species
UUCUCAUCCACUGCUGCGUUUGCUGGUUCUGAAAUUGUUGUUGAUGCGGCACUGAACUUCUCUGCAUAUAUUGCUGUUGAUUUCUGUGUUGAAAACUAGUGUUAGCAUUAGGAUGCAUACUGCCACCACCGCCACCGCCACGUCCGCCACCCAUCCAAGGUGGCGGAUAUCUUGAUCUCGAAUUCAUUACCAGUAUGGUUCGCCGACGGCCGGAGGAACUCUAUGUACGUUCUCCGAUGAGAAAAGGACCAAAAAUUAGAUUGGGAGUCCAG